AUUGAACGCUGGCGGCAGGCCUAACACAUGCAAGUCGAGCGAGCGGCGGACGGGUGUGUAAUGUGUGGGAAAAUGUCUGAUGGAGGGGGAUAAAUACUCGAAACGGUAGCUAAUACCGCAUACCCUAUGGUGUGCCCAGAUGGGAUUAUCUAGUAGGUGGGGUAACGGCUCACCUAGGCGACGAGCCCUAGCUGGUCUGAGAGGAGGACCAGCCACACUGGAACUGAGACACGGUCCAGACUCCUACGGGAGGCAGCAGUGGGGAAUAUUGCACAAUGGGCGCAAGCCUGAUGCAGCCAUGCCGCGUGUGUGAAGAAGGCCUUCGGGUUGUAAAGCACUUUCAGCGGGGAGGCGUUACCCGCAGAAGAAGCACCGGCUAACUCCGUGCCAGCAGCCGCGGUAAUAC
rnacentral:rRNA from 1 species